rnacentral:rRNA from 1 species
UUACCCGUACCGUAAACCGACACAGGUGGAUGAGGAGAGAAUCCUAAGGCCGACGGAAGAAGCAUUGCUAAGGAACUCGGCAAAAUGUCCCCGUAACUUCGGAAGAAGGGGAGCCUCCUCGGAAGGGGAGGCCGCAGAGAAGAGGCUCAAGCAACUGUUUAGCAAAAACACAGGUCUAUGCGAAACCGAAAGGUGAGGUAUAUGGGCUGACGCCUGCCCGGUGCUGGAAGGUUAAGAGGAGAGGUUAGCAAGCGCUUGCGCUAUGCAAAGCUUUGAAUUCAAGCCCCAGUAAACGGCGGCCGUAACUAUAACGGUCCUAAGGUAGCGAAAUUCCUUGUCGGGCAAGUUCCGACCCGCACGAAAGGCGUAAUGAUUUGAGUACUGUCUCGGCAAUGCAUCCGGUGAAAUUGAAGUACCAGUGAAGAUGCUGGUUACCCGCGCCAGGACGGAAAGACCCCAUGGAGCUUUACUCCAGCUUGAUACUGGGAUCCGGUAUUUUAUGUACAGGAUAGGUGGGAGGCUAAGAAAUAAGGACGUCAGUCUUUAUGGAGCCGCUGUUGGGAUACCACCCUUAAGGUACUGGAUUUCUAACCUGUGGCCGUCAACCGGUCAGGGGACAAUGUCUGGCGGGGAGUUUGACUGGGGCGGUCGCCUCCGAAAGAGUAUCAGAGGCGCUCAAAGGUUCCCUCAGGAUGGACGGAAACCAUCC